GAAAUGACGCGAGCUUCGAAUGCUUGCUUCUAUGUUAUGGAACCUAUGAGUGUAUUAGUCGUGUGAUCUAUUUUGUGCAUAAUUAUACACAAAGGAAGUGCAUAAUACAGUUUUGGAUAUUGCAAGAUGAUAAGCAACCUGCAAUAGAACGUAAUGGCACGGAUUGUUCAAUCGCAUCACCUCUCCCAGAAAAUUUCGUCAGAUGGGGAAACAAGACACAAAAUAUAAAAUGAAAUGUGAACUAGCAGUCUGAAGAUGAACCUAUUGGUUCGAAACCGAUAACGGCGCUGUUUAAAUAAAUACAUAGCACUUUAAAAAGUGGCUGGUUGCUGUAAUCUUCUGUGCAAGGGUCAACCUAUAACUUGAAAUGUGACAAAAGGAUGGAAUUCGAUAAUCUGAUACUGCAGCUGUUUCUUAACAAAUCUAAUUGUUUCUUCUACUGGCACAUUUGUGUACAUGGAUGUGAUGUCAAAAGACACCAGGGUUGCUGUUGAUGCGAAAAUCUUCGUCGUAAAUGGAUUGCCGCCAUUCCCAGGGAUGCAUUUACAACAACCAAAUAUUCCAAAGUAAGUAAAUCCGA